AAAAGCCUGGGAUGUGCGAUACCCCUACAAUUUUGAACCUACAUUUACUUUUAUGGGAUUCCUAUUAUGAGCAAUUGGAUGUCAGGCCACCAGUACCUCGGCGUACGCGAGCAGUGGAAGGCAGAAGGUUGACUGCGGACACCCACCUAGCAUUCGCUAGGAGUCAAAAUCGUAGGAAACGGCAUUUUGGGUCCAUA
rnacentral:other from 1 species